rnacentral:rRNA from 1 species
GUCGUCAGCUUACCCUAUGAAGGACCCACAGUAAGCAGAACUAGUACAACUCAAAACGCCAGGUCGAGGUGUAGCAUAUGAGAGGGGAAGAAAUGGGCUACAUUCCCUACCACAGGGAAUACGAACAAUGUAAUGAAAUAUACAUUAGAAGGAGGAUUUAGCAGUAAGCAGAAAAUAGAGCGUUCCGCUGAAACCGGCCCUGAAGCGCGCACACACCGCCCGUCACUCUCCCCAAGCCAACCAACACCCCAUAAAUAAUACAUUUUACCGGUAAAGGGGAGGCAAGUCGUAACAUGG